rnacentral:rRNA from 1 species
CGAAACCAGGUGAUCUACCCUUGGUCAGGUUGAAGUUCAGGUAACACUGAAUGGAGGACCGAACCGACUUACGUUGAAAAGUGAGCGGAUGAACUGAGGGUAGCGGAGAAAUUCCAAUCGAACCUGGAGAUAGCUGGUUCUCUCCGAAAUAGCUUUAGGGCUAGCCUCAAGUGAUGAUUAUUGGAGGUAGAGCACUGUUUGGACGAGGGGCCCCUCUCGGGUUACCGAAUUCAGACAAACUCCGAAUGCCAAUUAAUUUAACUUGGGAGUCAGAACAUGGGUGAUAAGGUCCGUGUUCGAAAGGGAAACAGCCCAGACCACCAGCUAAGGUCCCAAAAUAUAUGUUAAGUGGAAAAGGAUGUGGCGUUGCCCAGACAACUAGGAUGUUGGCUUAGAAGCAGCCAUCAUUUAAAGAGUGCGUAAUAGCUCACUAGUCGAGUGACACUGCGCCGAAAAUGUACCGGGGCUAAACAUAUUACCGAAGCUGUGGAUUGUCCUUUGGACAAUGGUAGGAGAGCGUUCUAAGGGCGUUGAAGCAUGAUCGUAAGGACAUGUGGAGCGCUUAGAAGUGAGAAUGCCGGUGUGAGUAGCGAAAGACGGGUGAGAAUCCCGUCCACCGAUUGACUAAGGUUUCCAGAGGAAGGCUCGUCCGCUCUGGGUUAGUCGGGUCCUAAGCUGAGGCCGACAGGCGUAGGCGAUGGAUAACAGGUUGAUAUUCCUGUACCACCUAUAAUCGUUUUAAUCGAUGGGGGGACGCAGUAGGAUAGGCGAAGCGUGCGAUUGGAUUGCACGUCUAAGCAGUAAGGCUGAGUAUUAGGCAAAUCCGGUACUCAUUAAGGCUGAGCUGUGAUGGGGAGAAGACAUUGUGUCUUCGAGUCGUUGAUUUCACACUGCCGAGAAAAGCCUCUAGAUAGAAAAUAGGUGCCCGUACCGCAAACCGACACAGGUAGUCAAGAUGAGAAUUCUAAGGUGAGCGAGCGAACUCUCGUUAAGGAACUCGGCAAAAUGACCCCGUAACUUCGGGAGAAGGGGUGCUCUUUAGGGUUAACGCCCAGAAGAGCCGCAGUGAAUAGGCCCAAGCGACUGUUUAUCAAAAACACAGGUCUCUGCUAAACCGUAAGGUGAUGUAUAGGGGCUGACGCCUGCCCGGUGCUGGAAGGUUAAGAGGAGUGGUUAGCUUCUGCGAAGCUACGAAUCGAAGCCCCAGUAAACGGCGGCCGUAACUAUAACGGUCCUAAGGUAGCGAAAUUCCUUGUCGGGUAAGUUCCGACCCGCAC